rnacentral:rRNA from 1 species
AGUGAACGCUGGCGGCAGGCCUAACACAUGCAAGUCGAACGGCAGCAUAGUAAGAGCUUGCUCUUACGUGUGUAGAGUGGCGGACGGGUGAGGAAUACAUCGGAUUCCACUUUUUCGGGGGGGAUAACGUAGGGAAACUUCCGCUAAUCCCGCAUACAUCCUACGGGUGAAAUCAGGGGUUCUUCGAACUUUGUGCUAUGGAAUAAGCCGAUGUCGGAUUAGCUAGUUGGCGGGGUAAAGGCCCACCAAGGCGACGAUCCGUAGCUGGUCUGAGAGGAUGAUCAGCCACACUGGAACUGAGACACGGUCCAGACUCCUACGGGAGGCAGCAGUGGGGAAUAUUGGACAAUGGGCGCAAGCCUGAUCCAGCCAUACCGCGUGGGUGAAGAAGGCCUUCGGGUUGUAAAGCCCUUUUGUUGGGAAAGAAAAGCAGCAGGUUAAUACCCCGCUGUUCUGACGGUACCCAAAGAAUAAGCACCGGCUAACUUCGUG